UACGGAGGGUGCAAACGUUGCUCGGAAUCAUUGGGCGUAAAGCGCACGUAGGCGGUCUCUUAAGUCGGGUGUGAAAGCCUCGGGCUUAACCCGAGAAGUGCAUUCGAAACUGAGAGGCUGGAGUACGGAAGGGGGUCUCGGAAUUCCCGGUGUAGCGGUGAAAUGCGCAGAUAUCGGGAGGAACACCGGUGGCGAAGGCGGUUCUCUGGGCCUUACCUGACGCUGAGGAGCGAAAGCGUGGGGAGCGAACAGG
rnacentral:rRNA from 1 species